rnacentral:lncRNA from 1 species
CCAAAAUUCACAAAACCUAAUAAAAACUUCAUUCUCACUUUGUGUGUUUCCCUUCCCUGCCGCCACCCCCCAUCCCCCUUUUCCAUUUCCUUCUUCAACAACGCCUUAUCUCUUCACAUGAACUGAGCAAACCAACGGAAUCACUGGCUAGAUAGCCCGGUGGCUUCUCUCUUCCCAGGUAUAUUUAUGUAUCUACAUCUUAAAAUUUCCGAAUCCUCAUACACCUAUUUGAUUUGAAAUUUUUGAUUUAUAUUCUAACAAUUUGAUAGAUGCUUUGCCGUAUUCUGAUAGGUAUUGAGUAAGACUUUGAAGAUUUUAAUGUAAUAUUGGGAGGAGCCACAGUUCGUUGAAAAGACAUUACAAAAAUGAGAUGAGAAUUCUUUCAAAAGUUUUUUAAAAAGUAUACAAGUUUAUUUUCUUAUCUUGUUGCUUUGCGUUUUCCCCUCUUAUUGUAUACUCAAAAUUCUUGUAAAAGAAUUAUCUGGACAUAGUUUUCUCUUUUGAACGCUAUAUUAGCAUUUUUACAAAUCAAUUUUCAUCUUUGUAUUAAUUCUUUUUUUUGGUUCGCUCAUUCUUUUGUGUUAAUUUUUUUUUUCUUAUGAAUUUACAGGGUGCAUUUCAAUCUAUUCAAUGCAGGAAGAUUAAGAAUUCAACCUUGAUGCAAAGAGUGAAAGUACUUCAUCCUUGACUGCAAAAGAUCAUCCGGUGGCGACAUGUGAAAUUCCCAGAUCAAAUAUUUAGAACUUAGUUUUCUUUUGAUGUGGAACCCUUCAGAAUUUUAUAGAUUAUAGUUAACGGUGCAUAAUUUGUACUAUACUCCUAUUAGUUUGACAAGAAUUGUGAUGAUCCAAAAUGUCAUUUUAAAAUUUAAUAAUUAAUUAUGUGUUCUAAGA